rnacentral:rRNA from 1 species
AUUGAACGCUGGCGGCAUGCCUUACACAUGCAAGUCGAACGGUAACGGGUCUUCGGAUGCUGACGAGUGGCGAACGGGUGAGUAAUACAUCGGAACGUGCCCGAGAGUGGGGGAUAACGAAGCGAAAGCUUUGCUAAUACCGCAUACGAUCUCAGGAUGAAAGCAGGGGACCGCAAGGCCUUGCGCUCACGGAGCGGCCGAUGGCAGAUUAGGUAUUUGGUGGGAUAAAAGCGUACAAAGCCGACGAUCUGUAGCUGGUCUGAGAGGACGACCCGCGCCACUGGGGCAGAGACACGUCCCAGACUCCCACGGGGGGCACCAGUGGGGAGUUUUGUACAAUGGGCGCAGGCCGGAUCCAGCCAUGCCGCGUGCGGGAUGAAGGCCUUCGGGUUGUAAACUGCUUUUGUACGGAACGAAAAGACUCUGGUUAAUACCUGGGGUCCAUGACGGUACCGUAAGAAUAAGCACCGGCUAACUACGUGCCAGCCGCCGCCGUAAUAC